UUCGGAAAAAAUAAGUGCUCAAGUGAAGUUCUGUCGUGAAACUGAAAUUAAUUGAAGAAAAGUUGUUUCUAAUAUAAAGUGCUAAAUUUUCACAUUAGUUGUUACACACACAUACCAUGUAUAUAUAUUGUUCAACGGCAAUGCAAAUGUGUGCAGAAACAGUUGGAAAGGCAAACCUGAGGAGCUAUAACAUGGCACGAAGGCUGAAAUAAUUGCUAGUACGGGUUUCUCAAGCAUUUCUGCUCUGAACAAAGAAAAUGAAAUCAGCUCCUCGUCGUCAUCUCAGCGUGGGCACGUCAGGCAUUUUCACAUAACGGCGAAAUGGGGCCACACAAAACCAGACUUGGCGGUGCGAAAACCCAACCAAGUUUUUCAUCUUUGGCUAGAAAGUUGCACUGUAGGCAGGCUGAGGCAGAUGCCAGGCGUUUGAAUUGCUAGCCGGAGUGUGCGGAGUGUGUGUGUUGUCCUGGACUUGAGGAGUUUGGAUAGGAAGCCAGGUAUAAAACGCAGCGAAGACAGCUUGUUCUCUUGUUAUACUUGGGCGUUGAAAGUUGAUACGCGAUCGAUAGAUGUUAUAACUCGAAUGCAAUGCGUGCGAAAGGGCAUUACAACAGCUGAAAUAUGCCGUUGGUGUGGCCCCGUUAGCCGUGUGGCGAGAGUAUAUCUGAACUCAGCGACCUGUGUGUGUCGCUACCUACACACAGGGGUACUAAACAUCGUUUUUAUCAGAUUGAUUGCGUGGAUUGAAUUUAUAGGAACCUGUAUCGACUUCUCUGCUCUACUAAGACUUGUUCAAAACAAAGGCGCACAAUUACCUAUACGUUUAUAUACGGCCUUCUAUUAUUUACCUAACAUCAUCGAACCGUUAUCAAUACCGAUCCAAACAGAUAUAAACACUACUGACAUCGAUCGAUAAAGAUAUAUAUCUCGUAUCUGGAGUAGCAACUGAACGAGCCAAUCGUUAGUUCGUUUUAUGCAGCACAAUUUACAAACUAUAUUCUUGUUAUUUACUUAUUUUUUUGUUGUAAACAUAAACAUUUGCUAGUACACGACAUGUGCGACUUAAGUUCUUAAAUACCUGAAACUGUUAAACAAAAAGAAAAAAAACAAAGAAAAUAUUCUGUUUUUGUACACAACCCAAGAUUUAAGAAAAUUUGUCCAUUUAUUGUUGUAAAUAUACUUGUCCAUACCAGUUAUAGAUAAUGAAUGAAGAAUAUAAGAAAAAAAGAAUGAGCUCAUCAAUACAGAAAAGAAGCUACAAACAAAAAAGAAUAAAAGAAAUCUAAGAAGACCAAUAAAUUUCGAAACAAUUGUUCGCCAUAUUUUUAUUUUAAGCUAAAAUUCUACACAAAUUUCAGUCUUAUCAUCGUACAAAUGGAGGAAGGGCCACUCUAAAUAUCCCAUACAGGUUUAUUUACACGAAAAUUAUGCGUAUAAAAGUCUAUGAAAUUUCUAAGGUUUGAAGUUAAGGUAAACAUCGACAACAUAUAUAUAUAUAUAUAUAUAUAAAAGAGACAUUCCCUAUAAAUAUGUUAAAAUUUUUCUCUAUACGCAUUGCUUGCGAUCAUAUAAGGGAAAUAUAUGCGAAUUUGAAAAUUAUAAAUUAAGCAGGGCUUUGGUAAAUGCUAAAAUAUGCGGUAAACUGCAAAAACGGUUAAAUAUUCAAAUUUGAGACACUUCAUCAAUGGCCGUAUUAAUACAAUUUUACAGACCCAACAUUACACAAUAUUCUACAAUUUAUUCCACUUUUCUGAUUUACUUAAGAAUUUAAGUUAAGUGUCUUCAAUUUGUCUUUAAUUUUUUUUUUUUAGUUGUCUUUACUAUCAAACUAUCUUAACUAAAUAUCAAACACAGCCUGAACACAUAAAAUUUACUUCAAAUACCAAGCGGAAACUAAACAACAAGGAUUAAACACUUCCAAUCCCCAAAAGCAAUUUUUCUUCCACAACUUAUCAACAUCGGAAGUUAACUUCAAUGACAAAAGUAUCCUUUAAUGGUCAGAAUUGUCCAGCAUAAAAUGGAACAUCCCAUCCGAUUAUCUGUUUACAUUUCAACCUGGAAAUUUCCAUCAAAGAAUUAGUACAUUUUCAAACUCGUCUCAAAUUGCACCAUCUGAAACAAUGGAAACUUCGUCAGCCCAGGCAUAAAUCUACCUCAAUGCACCACAUUCAAUUCAAGCAAAUACUUCUCAAAUAUUAAUGUGCCAACCAAGUAUACAUCCACAAAAUUCGUCUGCUUCUCAACUUCUCCAUCUACAAGCAUCUCAAUAUCGUCUACUUCCCCAACUGCUCCAUCUACAAGCAACUCAAUCUUUUACUUCCUCAACUGCUCCUCCAUCUACAAGCAACUCAACACAGCUGACACCUUUAAAAUUUAUCAGACACUAUUUUAAGUUCGAUUUUCAACAAUUUCAAAAUAUUUUUUCAACGUUCUUUGUCGUUCGACAAAUUUUUACUAUUUAUAUAUAUCUGAGCCGUGAUUACAACCAAAUAUUAAAUUAAAUUUGUCAAACACAUUACGAAACGUUCUACUGACACCACGUUGUCUUAAACAUCCUUAUAAAACUGCGUCCAAUACAAAUUAUAAAUUAUUAAGCAUACGAAAAAGUGAAAACAGAAAUUUCCCUGCGAUUACAAAAAGAGCGUAAAAACACACGAAAACUGCGAAGAAUUUAAGAAAGUGGAGUGUAUGGUUAAGAGUGUGAAAACAUAGAAAUUUCCCUAAUAGGUAGGUCAUACACAAACCCCGAUUACAACCCAAAUUUAAAACAUACAAGAGCGUAAAAACACACGAAAACUGCGAUGAAUUUAAGAAAGUGGAAUGUUUAGUUAAGAGUGUGAAAACAUAGAAAUUUCCCUAAUAGGUAGGACAUACACAAACUGCGAUGAAUUUGAGAGAAUGGAGUAUUCGGUUAAGAGUGUGAGGACAUAGAAAUUUCCUUUUUAGGUAGGACAUAAACAAACCCCGAUUACAACCCAAAUUUAAAACAUACAAGAGCGUAAAAACACACGAAAACUGCGAUGAAUUUAUGAAAGUGGAGUGUUUGGUUAAGAGUGUGAAGACAUAGAAAUUUCCCUAAUAGGUAGGACAUACACAAACUGCGAAGAAUUUGAAGAAAGUGGAGUGUUUGGUUAAGAGUGUGAAAACAUAGAAAUUUCCCUAAUAGGUAGGUCAUACACAAACCCCGAUUACAACCCAAAUUUAAAACAUACAAGAGCGUUAAAACGUACACGAAAACUGCGAUGAAUUUGAGAGAAUGGAGUGUUUGGUUAAGAGUGUGAAGACAGAAAUUUCCCUAAUAGGUAGGUCAUACACAAACCCCGAUUACAACCCAAAUUUAAAACAUACAAGAGCGUUAAUUUAAGAGAAUGGAGUGUUUGGUUAAGAGUGUGAAGACAUAGAAAUUUCCCUAAUAGGUAGGUCAUACACAAACCCCGAUUACAACCCAAAUUUAAAACCUACAAGAGCGUAAAAACACACGAAAACUGCUAUGAAUUUGAAGAAAGUGGAGUGUUUGGUUAAGAGUGUGAAAACAUAUAAAUUUCCCUAAUAGGUAGGACAUACACAAACUGCGAUGAAUUUGAGAGAAUGGAGUAUUCGGUUAAGAGUGUGAGGACAUAGAAAUUUCCUUUUUAGGUAGGACAUACACAAACUGCGAUGAAUUUGAGAGAAUGGAGUGUUUGGUUAAGAGUGUGAAGACAUAGAAAUUUCCCUAAUAGGUAGGACAUACACAAACUGCGAUGAAUUUGAGAGAAUGGAGUAUUCGGUUAAGAGUGUGAAAACAAAGAUAUUUCUCCAUUAGGUAGGACAUAAACAAACCCCGAUUACAACCCAUAAUUAAAACAUACAAGAGCGUUAAA
rnacentral:sRNA from 1 species